AAGGGAGAGGAAUAAGUAGAAAUCUACCCUCGGGUCGGGGAUAGCGGCGGGAAACUGCCGGUAAUACCCGAUAACGUCUUUGGACCAAAGGUGUGAUUCCGUCUGAGGAUGAGUCUACUUCCUAUUAGCUAGUUGGCGGGGUAAUGGCCCACCAAGGCAACGAUGGGUAGCAGGUGUGAGAGCAUGACCUGCCUCAUUGGGACUGAGACACUGCCCAGACACCUACGGGUGGCUGCAGUCGAGAAUCUUCGGCAAUGGACGAAAGUCUGACCGAGCGACGCCGCGUGCGGGAUGAAGGCCUUCGGGUUGUAAACCGCUGUCGGAGGGGAACAAAUGUACGGGGGUACUCCCCUGUAUUUGAGUGAACCUAGGAGGAAGGAGAGGCUAAGCUCGUGCCAGCAGCCGCGGUAAGACGAGCUCUCCGAACGUUAUUCGGUAUCACUGGGCUUAAAGAGUUCGUAGGCGGUCUGGUAGGUGAGGUGUGAAAUCCCCCGGCUCAACCGGGGAACUGCGCUUCAAACCGCCGGACUUGAGGGAGACAGAGGUGGGCGGAACAGAUGGUGGAGCGGUGAAAUGCGUUGA
rnacentral:rRNA from 1 species